rnacentral:rRNA from 1 species
GACGAACCGAGCGAACGUUGUUCGGAAUCACUGGGCUUAAAGGGCGCGUAGGCGGUGUGUCAAGUCAGGCGUGAAAGCCCCGGGCUCAACCUGGGAACCGCGCUUGAGACUGGCACGCUAGAGUUCGGGAGAGGAUGGUGGAAUUCCCAGUGUAGAGGUGAAAUUCGUAGAUAUUGGGAAGAACACCGAUGGCGAAGGCAGCCAUCUGGACCGACACUGACGCUGAGGCGCGAAAGCGUGGGGAGCAAACAGG